rnacentral:rRNA from 1 species
GAUGAACGCUGGCGGCGUGCCUAAUACAUGCAAGUCGAGCGAACGGACGAGAAGCUUGCUUCUCUGAUGUUAGCGGCGGACGGGUGAGUAACACGUGGAUAACCUACCUAUAAGACUGGGAUAACUUCGGGAAACCGUAGCUAAUACCGGAUAAUAUUUUGAACCGCAUGGUUCAAAAGUGAAAGACGGUCUUGCUGUCUCUUAUAGAUGGAUCCGCGCUGCAUUAGCUAGUUGGUAAGGUAACGGCUUACCAAGGCAACGAUGCAUAGCCGACCUGAGAGGGUGAUCGGCCACACUGGAACUGAGACACGGUCCAGACUCCUACGGGAGGCAGCAGUAGGGAAUCUUCCGCAAUGGGCGAAAGCCUGACGGAGCAACGCCGCGUGAGUGAUGAAGGUCUUCGGAUCGUAAAACUCUGUUAUUAGGGAAGAACAUAUGUGUAAGUAACUGUGCACAUCUUGACGGUACCUAAUCAGAAAGCCACGGCUAACUACGUG